CCAACAUUUGGUGAAAAGUGCAAGUCAAAAUGUUAUUGUUCUAAUGAACUCUGCCAUCAUGCAUACGGCUGCAAGACAAAUUCAGUUGGGUGUAAAUCUGGAAUGUAUGGUGCUUAUUGUGAGAAGAUUUGCCGAUACCCUAGCUACGGAAAAAAAUGUCAACUAUAUUGCAACUGUACCGAGGAACAUUGUAAUCCCUCUAAAGGAUGUAAAGCAAUAUAUUCAAGAGGCCCCAGUCAUAUGCUCGGAAACUCAAAUGCAGUAGAGGAUCAUCUAUCUGACACAGCCACGGG